rnacentral:RNase_MRP_RNA from 2 species
CUCUCGCUCAAAGAAUCGCAAUCAAAGCUUCCACACCGAAAGGGGACGCGUCCUCUUUCUGUUCUGCACAGAAACACACUGCUUUGGGAGAAAGUCCCCGGACACGCCAUGGGUUUACUCAUGGUAUGCGGAAACGCGCCGCCAUAGAUGCAAGCACACCUGCGGCUUACUUCGCCAGCCCGACCUCUCACACCUCAGACAUUGUCCCCAUCGCCGUCUGCACUCCGCAUGUGCGCUGUUGGCUAUUCUCAUUAUUGCUUUCCUCGCUCGGUCGCCUCUGCCCGCAAGGGGGACGAGGAUAUGAGUCCGUGGCCGGGCAAUGGGGGAAGCUGGCUAUCGGGAUGCCUGCUGGCGCUGUGUAGAGGAGGUGGUGGGUUCGUCUUGGUAAUCUCGCAGUCUUUGGGUCUGUGGGGUUUCCGGUUGGGCAUACUGGCAUCUUCUUCGUCGAGGUCGAAAGAUAUGCGAUUGCUUCUCUCUGCUUGCAGAAGGGGUAACUCGAUGGGGCUUAUUCUUGAUGCGAGG